rnacentral:rRNA from 1 species
GACAGAGGGUGCAAACGUUGUUCGGAAUUACUGGGCGUAAAGCGUGUGUAGGCGGCCAUACAAGUCGGAUGUGAAAGCCCGGGGCUCAACUCCGGAAUUGCCUUUAAAACUGCAUCGCUAGAAUUGUGGAGAGGUAAGUGGAAUUCCGAGUGUAGAGGUGAAAUUCGUAGAUAUUCGGAAGAACACCAGUGGCGAAGGCGACUUACUGGACACAUAUUGACGCUGAGGUGCGAAAGCGUGGGGAGCAAACAGG